CUGCUAUAAAGGCCUGUAGUGCCUUUGAGGACAUUUCUGUUUCCUGUCAGAGUCUGGGGGAAAGAGGCCAAGUUUGUGCGCUGUGUGUCUUGUACCUGUCAGGUGACCAAGCCGAGCUGCUUGGGUGGGGCCUGGAGAGGUCUCAGCUCAGAUACACCCCGUUCCUUCUCUGCUAGAGCCAGCACACGCCAAGCACACGCCAGGCACUGCUGAGAGAAGCGUGUGACACAAACUCAUGGAAUCCGUCGUGCAUUUAUUUAAUCUUCCAUCUGCUCGUGCUGCUUUCUCCCUCUCUCCCUUUCCUCUCUAGGAGUUAACUAACAUUCCCGGGUGGUUCGGAUGAAUCAUAGCCCGAAUCUAGAACCAGCGUUCUCCUAGGUAGUGGCUCUGUCCAAGCCUGUGUGGAAGUCCCUGGAGAAGAGUCUGCUUGCUGUCAGGCGUGUGAGCAGGGAAUUGUCCCCCUCUGUGAAUUCUUGGUAUCAUUGUUCCAGUUUGACCCGAUAGUUUAUGUUAACAGUGUGACUUAUGGUGAAGUUGCAUUUUUAUAAGCCUGAGGACCUGGGCCAAGCUAUGUUAGUUUGCUGAAGUCAGUCACAUGGACGCUGAAUGCCGGCGUGACCUCCAAUAAAAAAUCUGGCCUCCAAGGCUUGGGUGAGCUUCCCCAGGUGGCAACACUUUGCCAGUGUCAUCGCACAUCGUUUCUGGGAGAAUUAAGCCUUGUCUGUGUGACUCCUUUGGGAGAGGACAGCUGGUUUCUCACGAGUGGUUUCCACUGGACUUCACCCGUGCACCUCUUCCCUCUGCUGAUUUGUCUCUGUACACUUUUUGUCUAACAAAUCAUGACCCUGUAGAUAACAGCUCCGAAGGACCCACACGACUCUGAAAGUGUAAUAGCUUUUCUGAGUCCCUAGUCUUUCUAGGGAAUCAUCAAGCAGAGGGUGGUCUUGGGGACCCCAACACACUGUCGCUACAGAUUCUCAGUCAGAUUGUUUCAACCAUCUCAGUGGGGGAACCUUCGGAACCCAGUUUGACACUGCCCUCAGUAAUACUCUUGCUUGGUGUUUGUCAGGAAGUUGCUGACCUAGCAGCAGCACCCCGAGGGCAUCGCUGUGCUUUUUCCCCCUCCAAGGAGCAGAGGUCCUGAGUACUUGCAGUGGGCAGGAGCUGAGUGAGCUUGCUUUCUCGCUGUGGUGUAGUAUUCUGCCGAGGGUCCCUGGUCCCUGCCUCUUCCUGGAGGCCUUCCCUGCCAUGACUGUGGUGGCAGGCCCAUCAGGCAAUGCCUUGAUGAAGUUCCACUCUAAACUGCAUGAGUUCCUGUAAAGAAGGGAAGGCCAGUUGCAAGCGUUCAUCUGGCUGGACUGCAUUGCUCUCUCUGCAGCUGCCCCUGCAGAUUCCACAGGCAGGAAAGGAUCCAGAGCGAGUGGAGCUGCUAUAAUCAGAAGUGAAGGUCCUUUCCUCUUGUGCCAGUGUCUUCAGUCAUUUUUGCUCUACUGUCACCUCCUAUGUUGAAGUCACUGUCUCAACUGAAUUUAACAGUUGUUUUUUGCCAGAUAUCUUUUCAAAAGGUAACUUGCUGUAACACUGGUUAGUGUAAUAAAAUUAUUGCCUAUAGUAAAAUGUAUUUUUACAUUUCUGCCUGCUUCAGUUAUCUCUGUGUGACUUUCCUGUUGGUUAAUAAUGUUAAAGCACAAAACAGAAUUCUUAAUGUCUGUCUCCAGUGUGAAUUUCAGAUGUUAAGCCAGGGAUAACCUAUGAAUUAUAAUUAUUUAAAUUUUGUUUUAUUGUCUAUAAUAAAUUAUCUGAUGACGAAUAAAG
ensembl:lncRNA